GUCGCCGUAGCUCAGCAGGCUGGAGCGCCGCCCUCAUAAGGCGGAGGCCGGUGGUUCGAACCCACCCGGCGACACCG
rnacentral:tRNA from 1 species